rnacentral:rRNA from 1 species
AGGUCUUGACAUACCUUGCAAAGCUAUAGAGAUAUAGUAGAGGUUAACUAGGAUACAGGUGGUGCAUGGUUGUCGUCAGUUCGUGUCGUGAGAUGUUUGGUUAAGUUCAGCAACGAACGCAACCCUUGUCCUUAGUUGCCAGCAUUAAGUUGGGGACUCUAAGGAGACUGCUAGUGUAAGCUAGAGGAAGGUGGGGACGACGUCAAAUCAUCAUGCCCCUUAUGACCUGGGCUACACACGUGCUACAAUGGCUGAUACAAAGAGUCGCUAAACCGCGAGGUCAAGCAAAUCUCGAAAAGUCAGUCUCAGUCCGGAUUGAGGUAUGCAACUCGACGUCAAGAAGUCGGAGUCGCUAGUAAUCGCGAAUCAGCAAUGUCGCGCUUAAUACGUUCACGGGAC